AAAAUGCAAGGAUAUAAAUGGUGUGCAUGGUUUGAUUAAUUUGUUUUUUCUCAGAUAGCUGAAUGCACAAGUUUUAUGAGCUAGUUAUAUAAAGAAAAAACCAAACUUGUGUUAGAAAGGAAUGAUCCCCUGAGGAGAAAGGAAAGAGAAAAACGAAUCCAGGAUGCAUUUGGAUUGCCAAUAUCAGCCUUCAUGUUCAAAUUAUUCUGAUGGCCAAGGCACAAAUAGCCCUGCUAGGAGCAGUUUCUUAGAUGCAGCAACAGAAAGCACUUGUUCUGUUUGUGCUUAUGCUUUCUUUGUAAAGAGGCCACGGGGCCUAUUUUGAGCCUGUGUUUGUCAGGACGAUACGUGCGUGUCACUGAGAAGAGACGAAAUGUCAGCCAGCACUCACAAGUUCGGCACUACAAAGACCUGAAACGUCUCCUCCAAAGCACGGUGCUGUUCUACUAUGGCAAGCAAAUAAAAAAUGAAUAAGCAUCAGGCAUUUGUUUAUUGGUGGCCUCGUGUGCACACUCACACUGAAGGUCUGUGA